AUACGGAGGGUGCAAGCGUUACUCGGAAUCACUGGGCGUAAAGCGCGCGCAGGCGGUCUUUUAAGUUGGAUGUGAAAGCCUACGGCUCAACCGUAGAACUGCAUCCAAAACUAUUAGACUAGAGUGUGGGAGAGGAUGAUGGAAUUAGUUGUGUAGGGGUAAAAUCCGUAGAGAUAACUAGGAAUACCAAAAGCGAAGGCAAUCUUCUGGAACACUACUGACGCUGAGGCGCGAAAGCGUGGGGAGCAAACAGGAUUAGAAACCCGUGUAGUCC
rnacentral:rRNA from 1 species